CUCCUCAUCACCCCUCCCCUUCUCUCCUCUCCUCUUCUCUGGCUCUGCUUCUGUUUUGAAGCUCAGGGAUCCCUUCACCCAUGGUUUCCCACAGCCCACGGUCUCUUUUAUCCUCGAGGCCGCAGGGACGGGGCUAAGUACUAUAGGACGCAUCAACGCUCAGCCCCUUCCCCUUCCUUCUAGGAUGCCUUCCUUUGCUACCAAAAACUCUAUCCAGAAAUUCCCUUGUAGUUUAGGCUCCAGAUGUGAUUUAAGUUCGGCCAACCAGAUGGGCUCCUGGGACUCUGGGAAGGCAGCGCUCUGCACAGUGUCCCUGCUGCUGCUGCUCCUGCUGCUGCUGCUCCUGCUGCUGCUGCUCCUGCUGCUGCUGCGGGCAGGUCUGGGUGGAGGGCCCGGCCUCCUGUGGUGGCACUGUGGCGUCAGUUACUCGCUCCAGGGGUGAAGGCAGAGUUCUGGGCGUGCGGUUUUUGCUGAUGCAGCUCUAGCAGGGCCAGUGUGACUCUGAGAGCAACGGUUGCAGUCCGGGUAUCCCGAGCCCCAAAUUACUGUUUGGCUGAGUUCUGGAUCUUUUGUCCCAGUCGCAGUUUCCUCUCAUCCGUCUCCUUGGUUACAGUAGAGGUAGCUGCUCUGUUGGAGGCCAGUUCUUGACACUGUUGGGAAGCAAUUCCUAUCGGUCCACACUCAAAUGUGCUUCUCCCAGCUUCUUCACUGUUUCACGUGCACCUAAUCCUCCUCAGGCCUUAAAGUCUUCCUGUUUGAAACAAGCUGGCUUCAGUCUGGGAAAACCGACCCUGAUUGAUACCCUGGCUGAAGAGACACCCUGCCGGUGGUUCUGCUGGUGGUGGUGGGAGGAACUACAGAUCCACGGACGCCCUCUGAUUUCCUCAGCCCCUCCACAACCUUCCUUGUGUCUGAGGCACUGCUGGGUCUCACUAUGUAACCCAGGCUGGCUUGUAACUCAU